CCCUUAGAUGUUCUGGGCCGCACGCGCGCUACACUGAUGCAUUCAACGAGCCUAGCCUUGACCGGGAGGUCCGGGUAAUCUUUGAAACUGCAUCGUGAUGGGGCUAGAUUAUUGCAAUUAUUAAUCUUCAACGAGGAAUGCCUAGUAAGCGUGAUUCAUCAAAUCGCGUUGAUUACGUCCCUGCCCUUUGUACACACCGCCCGUCGCUCCUACCGAUUGAGUGUGUUGGUGAGGAGUUUGGAUUGGCCUCGGAAGGUGGUUCGCCACCGUCCGUAGCUGAGAAGUUCUCCAAACCGCCCCACUUAGAGGAAGGAGAAGUCGUAACA
rnacentral:rRNA from 1 species